CCAUCAACAGCUGUGGUGAGAGCAGAAGGAGAUGGCUAGGGAGUCUGCUGUGGACCCUGUAACAGCAAACUGGCAAAAAGUAGCUCAAAGAAUUGAAACGUCUAAGUACAAAAUAAUGGAAUGAGUUUUUCUGGGAAAGGGCUGGGAGUUGAAGAAUUUGCUACUGGACUGGGGAUAUUAAUACUCUACAUUUACCAAAGAAGAAGAAGUAUUCAGUCAAUGGGUGCUUCAGGUGCUAAGAACCUCUGACAAUCAGGCCCAGUGGAUAGGACUGUAUCCAUCUCAAUCCAUCUCCAUCUCCUGAAAGGGGAGCUGGAAUAAUUUUCAUAGUGGCAGGGGGCUGAUGAUGGGAACCAUAUAUCUGGUGUUUGUUAUUACUACUUCAAGCCAGGAGGUGUGGCAGCACGCCUAGUUCCAGCACCACUGUCCCCAAUAAUGUCAGGAAAAAACUCUUCUGCUGCAGGAGAAAGAUGCACAAAAAAUUUAAAACCCAAAUAUGUAUGCUUCAUUCAUUUUUUUUUUUCCUGGGAAAAAAAAUAUUGCAAAACACUUAAUUAAAACCAAUCUUUAGGGUACUGAACUGUUUCCACUGGAAAACCACCUCAACUGACUUCUCCUGACUUGGAGAAAUUAAUUGAAAACAAUUAUGUUUUAGAAAUGUUAUGCUUUCUGAUUUAAUCAGUCACUGUCUGAUGAUGAUGAUUUAUCUUUGGCAUGAAACCAGGUUUUUAUAUAAUACGUAUUUCAAGCUGUUUCAAUUGUUUACAGGUUUUGUUUUUUUGGUAUGGGGGGCAACAUACAGAGCAUUGUUGAUGAGGGAGGCUGGCACUUUAUAAGUGGAAAUAUCUAAUGUUUGCAUUUCAGACAGUGAACUGAUUCCCUUUUAAGAAAAAAACAACACAAAACACUUUUGUGUAUAUACACAUCAUAAUUAAUUUAUUUUAGUGGUCCAGUAAAUGCACUUCAUAUUAUCCAAUAAAAGUUGAUGUUUUAGAGUUACAUAUACUGUAAGAGGGUGAAAAGGAACUUUUUUUUUGACCUGGCAAAGGUAUGUGAAGCAUAUUUAGUUUUGGUUUGGAAAAAAAAAUGGUACAGUAUCUCCUCACUCAACAUUGUAGUUGUGUUCCUGAAAAAUCCGACUUAAGCGAAAUAAUGUUAAGAGAAUCCAAUUUCCCCAUACGAAUUAAUGUAAAUAGAGGGGGUUAGGGUCCAGGGACUUUUUUUUACCAGACAAAAGACAUAUAUAU